rnacentral:lncRNA from 1 species
ACCAUGUGGUUGGUGGGAUUUGAACUCAGGACCUUCGGAAGAGCAGUCAGUGAUUUUUAACUGCUGAGCCAUCUCGCCAGCCCUCCUCCCAGACUUGUGAUAUGCCAGUCUUCAUAUGUUGAAUAUUUUUUCUUACCCAUACCUUCAACUUGGUUUUCCUAAUUUACUUGGCUUAGCCAUGCUUAUAACAUAAUCCUCAGAGUCCUAAGAUUUGACCUCAGAAGUAUAAGGGAUCUUAAAGCUUGAGGAGUUGUCCAAAGUCAGUGAUUCAAGUAGCUCUCUCUCCCUUUGCAUUUCCACCACGCCAGAGCCUAAAAGGAGCAGUCUCAGGGCAGGGCAGCUUGGUUGAUUUGAUAAUGUGUUUGACUUAAGAGCGUGCAGUGCAAAGCCAGCCGUACCUCAGGAGGGGAAGUGCAGAUUCUGUAGUUCUCAGUUGUUAACACUCGUGGACUACAUAGACGCAUUUAAGGAUUAGGCUUUUUGCUAUUUCUGACACUUAGUGUCUAUAAUGUGAACUUUGUGUGGAUAGCUCUUCUUGGAACUUCCUUGUGUUCUUCAGAUUUGCGUUUACCAGCUGUUAACUGCCAAGCUUUGUCAAGUAGUAAGAAGUUCAGCCAUUUUGUGAGUUAGGGGAAUAAAUCACAGUGUGCUGAAAUGGACGCCUUUGGACCGAGAACCCGCAGGCUUUCUCUUAAGUGCAGUGUUGUUGUGCUGUCCUCUUGUGGCCAUUUUGAAAAUGAUACUUCAAGAAAUGGAAGUGACCCUGUUGUUUUUAAAGUCUAGUUUAAGAAAGACUGCUUCAUUUCCUAAAAACCUUAGUAAAGCUGUUUUUUCCCUUUUCUUCUCUCUUUUUCUCUUUUGACACACUUUUUUUUUUUUUUGGGUCCAGUAGAAAGUAUACAUUUUGUUUUAUCGCGUUUGAAUAAUUUUCAAAUGAAUAGGCUUUUUAUGAGGCUGUGGUGCAUAAUUCAUGUGAAUAUAAUUUUUGACUGCCUUGUAACUAUUACACCUUGGAAGUUAGAUUAUUAUUAUCAUAGCAGAAAGUCCUUUUAUUUGAGGAUUGUCACAUAUAAAUUGAAUUUGCCCCUCCACCCCCACUCCAUUUGGAUAUAGGACACAGGCUGUGCCCUAAUUUUCAGCUUCUCAAGUGCUGCUAUUAAAGCAUGUAGCACAUGCCAGGCUGCCCUUUUUAUUUAGUCUUAGAAAACCUCUGAGUCCAUGUGAAAGUUCCUGUGUAGAGCUGACAUUCAGGAUUCCUCGGUGUUAGGGAUGCCAUGUCACUUCAGCUGUUGCUUCUCUCCUGUUAGAGGGUUUAAAGGACCAUGUUCCUUCAACAGUAAGGACCUCAUCCUCUGCUUAUUAUCUUAGCACCAGUGAGGCAGAGGCAGUGUGGCUGGCC